rnacentral:rRNA from 1 species
UACAGAGGGUGCGAACGUUGUCCGGAUUUAUUGGGCGUAAAGAGCGUGUAGGCGGCCAGGUAGGUCUGGUGUGAAAACUCGAGGCUUAACCUCGAGAUGUCAUCGGAAACCAUCUGGCUAGAGUCCGGAAGAGGAGAGUGGAAUUCCUGGUGUAGCGGUGAAAUGCGCAGAUAUCAGGAAGAACACCAAUGGCGAAGGCAGCUCUCUGGGACGGUACUGACGCUGAGACGCGAAAGCGUGGGGAGCGAACAGG